rnacentral:lncRNA from 1 species
CUCAGUCUCAGUCCAUUUGCUUUGGUUGGACCUACUUCUACUCCUCCUGCCCUCUCCCCGAGUUCUAGGGCAGUUGCAGGACUCUGGACUGGCUGAGGAGAGGAUCAAUAGCCUUUGGCCAGAUUAAUUGGUUCAGUAAUGAGCACAUGAUGCAAUUUGGACCAAUAAGAAUCAGGCCCAAGACUUCUGUUUGCAAUUUAGAAGAUAGUUUCUCUUUCUUAUCUUUAACUCUGGGGGAUAAAAGCCUGAAGUUCAUGGAAGUCAUCUAGUGAAGAAGGCUUAUUGAAGGUGAUGACAAGACUGCAGGGGUAUACUUCAAAAUACUCAUAUGUCCAAGUGUUUCAAUUCUAGAGGCUUGCUGUCUUUGUCAUUUCAUAGCUCGCCUUGGGAAGCUUAAGGUACUGUGACCGAGCUUUCAUGGAAAUCAGGAAGAUUCUGAGAGAAUCCAAAUGUGACCAUCUGGGAGAGUUAAGAGAAGAAAAUACACCAUGUGGAGAGACAAGGACUGCCACUCCUGGAGUUCCAAAUGGACAGAAGGAGAGAGCUUCCUCGCAUCUUUGGGAAAAUCCUAUCUACAUAGCAUAAAUGCCCCAUACUCCACCCUGGAAGAGGCUAAUCAGGGGCACCUCCUCAUGGGUGCCAGAUAUUAGAAGAUUUUACAGGCUCCAUUGCGGCAGAAGGUAAUCAAAAAGGCCCAAGCCCCACCCUACAGAGAGCAGCAGCAUGACCUUAAACUGCCUUUGCUGGUCACUUGGAGAGGGAGGGUCCAUUUUCCUCAGUGGGCAACAAAGCCGCUGAUAAUCAGGUGCACACAUGACGUGGAUGUAACCUGCUGAGGAAGUGUCUGAUAUACCAAAGGAGCCAGGACUCACAACAAGCCUGGCCAGGAAAAAGAAGCCUCAGAGAACCCCAGAGCAGCCUCUACUUUGUAGAUGAUAUGAGUAAAUACAACGCAGACAGCCACUUAGCAAGUUCAGAGCCACUUCCAAACGACGCUGAGGGCCUGGUGUCAGCUCCUGCACAGCAGGCUCCAUUCUCUCCCCUUCAGGCUGUGUGCAUGUUCACUCCAGUGAGUCACAAAGACACAUUCCCAGGUGCGCACCUGGCCAAAAGCACAGAAGAGGAAGUCGCACAUGUGACCAUCCUCUGCCAACCAGCCCACGUGUACAGCAGAAAUCAGUAUUGUUUGCCUCUGUAAUAAAAUCAUUGCAUAAAUUUUGUAGAGCUUUGAAUCGGCCUCGUAAGUGUCACCAGGCAACUCUUCCAAGAAGGGUAGGGGGAUGGUGAGGUAGAGAACUCCAGGGACACAGAAAAGGACCAUGGUGUGUUUCUUGCAAAGCCCUUGUGCUGGAAAUGCUAUGAAGGCAAAAACUUUAUGCUGACCAUGAAACCCAAUCAAUAUAACACAAAAUUCAGGCCAGGUACAAUGGCUCACACCUGUAAUUCCAGCAUUUUGGGAAGCCAAGGCGGGCAGAUUGCUUUAGCUCAGGAGUUCGAGACAAGCCUGGGCAAACAUGGCGAAACCCCGUCUCUAUAGAAAAUACAAAAAAAGGCCAGGAGUAGUGGCUCAUGCCUGUAAUCCCAGCACUUUGGGAGGCCGAGGCAGGCAGAUCACCUGAGGUCAGGAGUUCAAGACUAGCCUGGCCAGCAUGGUGAAACCCUGUCUCUACUAAAAAAUACAAAAAUUAGCCAGGUGUAGUGGUGGGUACCUGUAAUCUCAGCUACUUGGGAGGCUGCGGCAGGAGAAUCGCUUGAACCUGGGAGUGGGAGGUUGCAGGGAGCCAAGAUCACACCACUGCACUCCAGCCUGGGCAACAAGAGUGAAACUCCAUCUAAAAAAAAGAAAAAAAAAGGAAAAGAAAAUACUAAAAAAUAGCCAGGUGUGGUGGUGCACGCCUGUGGUCCCAGCUACUUGGGAGGCUGAGGUGGGAGAAUCACUUGAGUCUGGGGUGCAGAGGCUGCAGUGAGCUGAGAUCAUGCCACUGCACUCCAGCCUGGGCAACAGAGCAAGACUGUGUCUCAAAAAAGAAAAAAAAUCCUCGAUAAAACUACAGAACCUUGCACUUGUAGCAACCAAUGCUUCCACUCCACACUGGAGUUCUCUCUGAAAGCAUUGCAAAAAUCCCUGUUAAGGUCAUGGGCCAAAACAUAAGGGAGACAAAACCACAAAGGGUGACAUCAGUUGCUUGUAAUGGUUUAGCUGCCAUGUGGUGGUAGCCAUAAGACGGCUGCUAAUCUGUAUCUU